GCGCCCAUAGCUCAGCCGGAUAGAGCAACUGCCUUCUAAGCAGUAGGUCGCAGGUUCGAAUCCUGCUGGGCGCG
rnacentral:tRNA from 1 species